UGUUAACAGAUUAACAGGAGAGGUCUAGAUACUACAAUGUUAACAGAUUAACAGGAGAGGUCUAGAUACUACAAUGUUAACAGAUUAACAGGAGAGGUCUAGAUACUACAAUGUUAACAGAUUAACAGGAGAAGUCUAGAUACUACAAUGUUAACAGAUUAACAGGAGAGGUCUAGAUACUACAAUGUUAACAGAUUAACAGGAGAGGUCUAGAUACUACAAUGUUAACAGAUUAACAGGAGAGGUCUAGAUACUACAAUGUUAACAGAUUAACAGGAGAGGUCUAGAUAAUACAAUGUUAACAGAUUAACAGGAGAGGUCUAGAUACUACAAUGUUAACAGAUUAACAGGAGAGGUCUAGAUACUACAAUGUUAACAGAUUAACAGGAGAGGUCUAGAUACUACAAUGUUAACAGAUUAACAGGAGAGGUCUAGAUACUACAAUGUUAACAGAUUAACAGGAGAGGUCUAGAUACUACAAUGUUAACAGAUUAACAGGAGAGGUCUAGAUACUACAAUGUUAACAGAUUAACAGGAGAGGUCUAGAUACUACAAUGUUAACAGAUUAACAGGAGAGGUCUAGAUAAUACAAUGUUAACAGAUUAACAGGAGAGGUCUAGAUACUACAAUGUUAACAGAUUAACAGGAGAGGUCUAGAUAAUACAAUGUUAACAGAUUAACAGGAGAGGUCUAGAUAAUACAAUGUUAACAGAUUAACAGGAGAGGUCUAGAUACUACAAUGUUAACAGAUUAACAGGAGAGGUCUAGAUACUACAAUGUUAACAGAUUAACAGUAGAGGUCUAGAUACUACAAUGUUAACAGAUUAACAGUAGAGGUCUAGAUACUACAAUGUUAACAGAUUAACAGUAGAGGUCUAGAUACUACAAUGUUAACAGAUUAACAGUAGAGGUCUAGAUACUACAAUGUUAACAGAUUAACAGUAGAGGUCUAGAUACUACAAUGUUAACAGAUUAACAGGAGAGGUCUAGAUACUACAAUGUUAACAGAUUAACAGCAGAGGUCUAGAUACUACAAUGUUAACAGAUUAACAGUAGAGGUCUAGAGAC